rnacentral:rRNA from 1 species
GGGUGCGAUCGUACCAGCACUAAAGCACCGAUCCCAUCAGAACUCUGCAGUUAAGCGUGCUCGGGCGAGAGUAGUACUGGCUUGGGUGACCCGC